CCUACGGGGGGCUGCAGUGGGGAAUAUUGGGCAAUGGGCGCAAGCCUGACCCAGCAACGCCGCGUGAAGGAAGAAGGCUUUCGGGUUGUAAACUUCUUUUAAGAGGGAAGAGCAGAAGACGGUACCUCUUGAAUAAGCCACGGCUAACUACGUGCCAGCAGCCGCGGUAAUACGUAGGUGGCAAGCGUUGUCCGGAUUUACUGGGUGUAAAGGGCGUGCAGCCGGGAAGACAAGUCAGAUGUGAAAUCCCGCGGCUCAACCGCGGAACUGCAUUUGAAACUGUUUUUCUUGAGUACCGGAGAGGUCAUCGGAAUUCCUUGUGUAGCGGUGAAAUGCGUAGAUAUAAGGAAGAACACCAGUGGCGAAGGCAGAUGACUGGACGGCAACUGACGGUGAGGCGCGAAAGCGUGGGGAGCAAACAGGAUUAGAUACCCCAGUAGUC
rnacentral:rRNA from 1 species